GUGGUGACCUGGGAAUCAAUGUGUGAGGUGGUGCUAUGUAGCAGGAACCCCUCUUGCUUUGCAAAUAGUUUUUUGUUUGUUUUCCUUUUUGCCCAAUAGAGCCCUGCUCUACUGACCCUUCAAUGUGCCCGUGUGCCUAAAUAUUCCUGGUCGUGUGAAAAGAACCCAGUCAAGCUCAACUUGCAGAACUGAUGGGAACCCCUUGGGAAAACUGGCCUCAAAUGUUUGUCUACACAGUCCACAUACAGGGUUCUUAACCUGCGGAAACACUUUCUGAAAAUGUCAGAACUCUUGAAAACAUGGAUGAGGAAAAGCAUAAGUACUGCUUUAUGCUUUUCUUAUGAAUUUUAAAAGAUGUAAUUUAAAGGUACUUUAAAGUGAUAUUUGUGCCCUUGUAACUGAUUCAAAGUAGACUGCUAAGGACAAUAAGUAAUAAGAGUCUACAAAUAUCAGUAAAUUAUGAGAAAAAACGGUCUAAUGGUACUUAAAAUUGCAUUGUGAUUUAUUAAAUAACAUUGAACAGCUCCACCUGUAACAUUAAGAUUCCAUUUGAGCAUAUAGAAAAUAUAUUUAUCGCAACCUGAAGUGAUUUGGAAAGUAUGCUGGGAAGAAAAUAUAUUUACAAAUUAGUCUCAGAGGGUAGGUAUCCUGUAGCCAGAUGGAAUAAGAAGAGAGGGAAGGGAGAUUUUGUUCAAAGGGGGAGCAUAAGCUAAGGAAUAAAGCCACAAACAAUGAUUAAAUUAGGUAAAGUGCAAUUAGCUGAAUAUUGCAUAAGCAUACAUAUGGGAAGAAGUGGAAAAAGGAGUGACAAUAUGAAGCUAAAGGGUUUGAAGUGUUCAAGAUAAUACUAGGCUUCCUAGCCUAUUCCGAGACAUCUUGUUUUAGAGUGCAAUAGAUAAGAACUCUAAGGAUGAAAGUAGGAGACAUGCAUUCUAGUCUACGUUUUGGUUAAUGGACUGAAAGUGAAAGAUGGACUGAAAUUGGGGGAUGGAAUAAAAAUGUGAUAGAAUAGAAAAUAGAAAAAGCAAUUAGCCUAAUGUCAUUGAUACUUAGAGAAAAUAUGGAAAAUAGUAAAUUAGUGAUAUAUAUCUUUUCUAAUUCACCAGGGUGAGUGAACAAAGGAAAUCGGAUUUAAAAGUAUUCAUGACAUAGAUGCAAUAAGGUUUCUCAGUCAGACAUAGCAAAUUGAGGGAAGGGAAGAUUUAGAGGAUUGGAAAAUGUCUUGCUUGUAGACUAAUAGGAUAUCAAUAAGCCAUAUGAGCAAUAAUUUGAAAUAGUUUUUGUAAAGUAUCAUGAAGGUAAACCCUGUUUAGAACAAAUUAGAUUUGAAGUACUUGUGACAAAUGCAAUUGACAAUGCCUUUAUGCAGCUGGAAAAUUGUUGCUUAGCAGAAAAGCUUGUGCUGGACAAAUAGAUGUCCAAAUUGAAUAGAUGUUUUCUUAAGCUGAACUAAUUGAGACAAAUAUCCUUAUUAAAUCAAAAAAUUAAAAAUUGAAAUAACUUACCUAUGAUAGGGUAAAUAAUGUUAUUAAUAUACACAAGAAAUAUGUGAUGUAUAUGUGUAUGUACAUAUGUAUACAUAGUAAUAAUACAUAGUGCUAUUUUUAAAUGAUAUUUUACAUAGUGCUUUUUUAAAUGAUUUUUCAAUCAUCGUUGUUGGUCUGUGUUAUUUUAAUCAUCAAAGCUGAUUGAUUUCUGUUUUUGUGUUUUUUUUUGUUUUUUUUGAGGUGGAGUCUCACUCUGUCACCCAUGGUGGAGUACAGUAGUGCGGUCUUAGCUCACUACAAACUCCACUUCCCUGAUUCAAGUAAUUCUUGUGCCUCAGCCUCUCGAGUAGCUUGGAUUGCAGGCAUGCACCACCACGAGCUGCUAAAUUUUUUGUAUUUUUUGUAGAGGGGUUUUGCCAUGUUGGCCAAGCUGGUCUCAAACUCCUGACCUCAAGUGAUCCGCCCUGGCUUCCCAAGCCCAGCUGAUUCCUGUUUAAAUAAAAACUUACAAAGAUCUUCCCACAAGUACUUUAUCUUACAAUUUACUGAACAAUAGAGGCAGUGAAGAUGUUUUUCAGAAAGCAAUUGUGAUCCUGACAUUUUCUUCUUAUAAUCCUGUGCUUUCCUCAUUUUUUUAUAUUAAAAGUAAUAGUUCUUGUGAUGGCAACUAGGAUUUGUAACAACAUGUACCCUCAUUUCCUGCAUGACCUUUUUUAUGUCACUUCUUCACAUGCAAAGUAUACUCCCUCAGUGUCAUUACAUUAUUUGAUUUUUGCCCUUUCCCUCACCUUUCCAUGUGUUUAUUUGCCUAUGCCCAUCUCCUAGUCACAUUUUAUCUAGUUAACGCCAACUUGACUUUCAAUGCUGUUCAAGAUUUACCUCAAUCUCAAGUGUUUUCUCUUUAUAUUCCAUACACGCUUAGCUUGGCUGCCAAUCCUCUUGGCUGCCAAAGAAUCCCAAAUUAUCUCUUUCAAAAAUACAAGAAAUAAAGGAUGGAGGAUAGGAAGGAGGGUGGUCAGGAAAGAACAAAGAAAGGAGGGGAGAGGAAAAAAAGAGAGAAAGAAAGAGAAUUAAAGUUAAGGAGGAAGAAUUUCACACUGAAUUAAAAUUGAUAAUAUUCAGGAAUGAUUUUAUAGUAGGCAUACAUUGAUAAAUAUUAGUUAAAUUAAUGAAUUAUUCCAAAAGAUCAUGAUUUGUAAAAAUUACCCUGAAGCACUUUAGGAAUAUUACAUUGAAAUAGGUAUGCAAUUUCUAAAGAAACUGGACUGCAAAAAUAGCCAUUGUGUGUACCUGUGGACCAGAAUAUUAUAUUUUGCUUAAGUUUGAAGUGUUAAAGUGCCCAACGUGCUCUUAUUUUAACCUAGCAAAUUUUCAGCAGAACUUAAGCUCAUAUAGUAUUUGAUUUUUUCAUUUCUCACAACUGUUGGAAUUCUGUUUUAUUGAAAAUUAUACAAUAAAAUGUUAAAAAAUCUUUGUUCCUGCAGUUAUGCAAUCUUAUGCCAAAGUCAAUAAAUUAUUAAAUUAAAAUCAAACCCACUAAGCCUAACAAUUUGAGAAAAUGAUUAUUAAAACAUAUACCAUUUAGAAGGGCAAUGCCUUUUUAAUAUUAUAGUGAAGACAACCCUAUCAAUUAUUUAAUACACCAAGAAUACAAGGAUAUAAAAUCUUUUUCUCUCAUAUAUCACAUUAUCUGAUGUAUUUAGCUGUGAUGACAUUCCAGAAAACAUCACUUUUUAAAAUUUCUAAGAUUUUAUUAUGUUGCUAGCAAAUCGAUUUUUUUCAAGUACUGUAACAAAAUCCCUAAAUGGGCUUUAUGAGAACUAUUUUCAGUGUGAUAUUAAUCAUAUUUUAUUUAUCAUCCAUACAUAGAUGGUAGCUUAUCUGGUAUUCCUAGUGUUUGAAGUGAAGAGUAACACACACACACAUCCCAAUACCAAUUUAAUUGAUAAAUAUAUAAUCAUUUGUUUUCAAAUAUUUAUGUUGAUACUUGCUUGUGUACUUACUUGUAAUGUAGGUCUGUAAAAGGGACUGUUUUCUUUCUGUGAAACUGAAGCUUAAAGCAGUGCUUGUCACAAAUUCAAAAUCACCUUGCUUUGUCAACAUUUUCAGAUGUUUUUGGCUCAGUCUGAUGACAGCAUCAGUGCAGUAAAGGGAUCUUAUUGAAAUGUUUUAACUAAAGAUAAAAUGCCACCACUAGGAGAAAAAUAAAAUCAAGGAAAUAAACAGAAAAUCAAUAAAUGUGAAAUGUAUUAUAAAUUUAUAUAAUAACAAUGUUGUAUGCUAUAAACAUCUCACUUUGUAAAAUUAACAAGAAUUCAGUGAGGCAGAUCAUUUUCUAUGUGUUCAGAAGUCAAGUCUUUGAUGGCUAAUUUUUAUAUUACUUCAUUACAAUAUCUCUACUGAAGCAAAAUAAUUGCAAAUCUUUUUGAAUGAAAUCAAUUUAUCUUUAAUUUUAGAUAAUAUUUGGUAUAGUUGGCAUAGUUUUGUCACAAAGCAUAGCUAACAUCAAUGUAGCCUUACGACUUCAAAUGUCUUUAUAGAUCUUUUCUGAAAUUGCAAAAUUUUACUUUGAAAUUAUUGUUAAUAUUUACGUUGCACAACCACAAAUGUAGAAAUAAAAUUAUAAAGUCUCCAG
rnacentral:lncRNA from 1 species